CAGUAGCCGCGGUAAUACGGAGGGGGCUAGCGUUGUUCGGAAUUACUGGGCGUAAAGCGCACGUAGGCGGCUUUGUAAGUUAGAGGUGAAAGCCCGGAGCUCAACUCCGGAAUUGCCUUUAAGACUGCAGAGCUAGCAGGUGAGAGAGGUGAGUGGAAUUCCGAGUGUAGAGGUGAAAUUCGUAGAUAUUCGGAAGAACACCAGUGGCGAAGGCGGCUCACUGGACGACUGUUGACGCUGAGGUACGAAAGCGUGGGGAGCAAACAGGAUUAGAUACCCCAGUAGUCCCUGUCUCUUAUAC
rnacentral:rRNA from 1 species